rnacentral:rRNA from 1 species
ACGGGAGGCAGCAGUGGGGAAUAUUGGGCAAUGGGCGAAAGCCUGACCCAGCAACGCCGCGUGAGGGAAGAAGGUUUUCGGAUUGUAAACCUCUAUCGUGGAUGACGAAGGAAGUGACGGUAGUCCACAAGGAAGCCCCGGCUAACUACGUGCCAGCAGCCGCGGUAAUACGUAGGGGGCAAGCGUUGUCCGGAAUGACUGGGCGUAAAGGGCGUGUAGGCGGCUUUUUAAGUUUGAAGUGAAAGUCCUGCUUUCAAGGUGGGAAUUGCUUUGGAUACUGGAGAGCUUGAGUGCGGAAGAGGUAAGUGGAAUUCCCAGUGUAGCGGUGAAAUGCGUAGAGAUUGGGAGGAACACCAGUGGCGAAGGCGACUUACUGGGCCGUAACUGACGCUGAGGCGCGAAAGCGUGGGGAGCGAACAGGAUUAGAUACCCUGGUA